UAGGGAAUCUUCGGCAAUGGGGGGAACCCUGACCGAGCAACGCCGCGUGAGUGAAGAAGGUUUUCGGAUCGUAAAGCUCUGUUGUUAAGGAAGAACGAGUGUGAGAAUGGAAAGUUCAUACUGUGACGGUACUUAACCAGAAAGGGACGGCUAACUACGUGCCAGCAGCCGCGGUAAUACGUAGGUCCCGAGCGUUGUCCGGAUUUAUUGGGCGGAAAGCGAGCGCAGGCGGUUAGAUAAGUCUGAAGUUAAAGGCAGUGGCUCAACCAUUGUAGGCUUUGGAAACUGUUUAACUUGAGUGCAGAAGGGGAGAGUGGAAUUCCAUGUGUAGCGGUGAAAUGCGUAGAUAUAUGGAGGAACACCGGUGGCGAAAGCGGCUCUCUGGUCUGUAACUGACGCUGAGGCUCGAAAGCGUGGGGAGCGAACAGG
rnacentral:rRNA from 1 species